rnacentral:tRNA from 1 species
GGCCUCAUCGUCUAACGGUUAGGACGUCGCGUUCUCAACGCGAAAAUUGGAGUUCGAUUCUCCAUGGGGCUA